rnacentral:rRNA from 1 species
GACGUAGGGCGCGAGCGUUGUCCGGAUUUAUUGGGCGUAAAGAGCUCGUAGGCGGCUUGUCGCGUCGACUGUGAAAACCCGUGGCUCAACCAUGUGGUCUGCAGUCGAUACGGGCAGGCUAGAAUUCGGUAGGGGAGACUGGAAAUUCCUGGUGUAGCGGUGAAAAUGCGCAGAUAUCAGGAGGAACACCCGGUGGCGAAGGCGGGUCUCUGGGGCCGAUGAAUUGACGCUGAGGAGCGAAAAGCGUGGGGGGGAGCAAAACAGG